rnacentral:misc_RNA from 1 species
CCGAGUUCUAAACUCACAACCCAUUGUGAACAUACACUUGUUGCUUCGGCGGAUCAGCCGCUCCCGGUAAACGGACGGCCCGCCAGAGGACCCUUAAACUCUUGUUUCCUAUGUACUACUCUGAGUAAAUCAUUAAAUAAAUCA